rnacentral:lncRNA from 1 species
GGCUGACACAAAUCACCAAAAUCAAAUAGGCAACAUCGAUUGUAUAAUGACGAAAGGGUAUUAGGUUUUCUGCUCUCGAUUUCUUUACUAUUGACUCUCCAUGAGUGAUUUCAUUUUCUACCUCUAUAGAAUUGUGAUUUCGUUCUCGUCUUUGUUUCAUUGAUAUGAGUUAAGUUUCCUUUUUAACUUAUUUUAUGAAUUCAGUGAAUUACAUAAGUGUCAAUUAAAAAAAAAUGGACAUCUGUAAAAAUUAGUUUCACUCCAUAUACAUAUCUAAAAUCAAAAUUUUGAAAAAAAUCACCGGCAAACUAUAUUAACAGGUUAGUGUUCAAAUCUAAUAUAUCAAGCUGUUAUAUAAUAUAAGUGCAAACUCGAAAUAUAUAUGUUUGUCAAGUAUAUAUUCACCAGCUCGGUCUAAAAUUAUUUAAGUAGAACAACAAAACAAAUUACUUAUUUCACCAGUUCGGGUAAUAUCUGAAUCCGAACGGGUAAUAUCCGAACCCGAAUGAAUAUCCGAAGAUAACCAAACAUAAGUAUACUUAACUCUAUAUUUCUAGUUUAUUUCUCUUAUUUUAUUCAAAAUAUUUAUAUUAAUGAUUCUUAUUGC